rnacentral:lncRNA from 1 species
CCAGCAACGACCCAAGAUGGGUUCCAAAGGAAAAGGUGAUGUUGGGCAGUAGUUUUGGAUUGUUUUGACCCAGUGAAAUCCAGCUAGCAAUGAGACACUUGGCAGAAAGUAUCACAUGGCAGGAACAAAAAAAAACCCUCUGAGCAAUCUCUCCCCAGACAAUGCAGAACAAGAUCAGGGGAUCACAAGGAAUGGAUGAAUUGCCAUCAGGACAAGGCAGGAGAAAAGGCCCACUGCUCCAGUCUCAGAUGCCACUUCAACUGAAGAGAUCACAGAACAGGAAAAGGGCAUGCACAGGUAUUGGGAAGGAGCAUCCCAGACCUUGGAAGUCGUGUCAUUUCUUGGAGAAACCCAAGAAGAAAUUACUGAAUACCCAAGAAGAAAAUUUGCACAUUGACUAUUUUAUUUGUAUAUAUGUAUACAUAUGUAUACAGCUCUUAAGAUCAAUGCUGGAAUAAUUGAAGUUCCAAAUAUCUCCUGAUGCUUUGUGUGUUGUAACUACUCCAUCAAAAUCAAUCAAAAUCUCACAAUCCUUAUAUUAAACUGCUAAUAAACAUUUAGGAAAAAGUAGCCA